rnacentral:rRNA from 1 species
AAGACAUGAAGUCAGGUCAGCAAACCCGCUGAAUUUAAGCAUAUAAGUAAGCGGAGGAUAAGAAACUAAAUAGGAUUCCCUUAGUAAUGGCGAAUGAACAGGGAUCAGCUCAGGAUGGAAAUUGGGGCCUUUGGCCUUGAAUUGUAAUCUGGAGAUGUACCACCAACUGGGGCGUAGAUGUAAGCCUUUUGGAAAAGAGCAUCAAUGAGGGUGAGAGUCCCGCAUGUCAUCUGCAGUCCCCAGUGCACGGUGUACCUUCUAAGAGUCACGUUCCUCGGGAUUGGAGCGCAAAUUGGGUGGUAAAUUUCAUCUAAAGCUAAAUAUUGCUUCGAGACCGAUAGCAAACAAGUACCAUGAGGGAAAGGUGAAAAGGACUUUGAGAAGAGAGUUAAAAGUGCCUGAAAUUGCUGAAAGGGAAGCGAAUGGAACCAGUGCAGCUUGGCAAGAUUGUUACGUGCCAGUGUGAUUGCUUGCUGCCUCAACGCAAGUGUGGCAGUAGGUCUUGAGCAUGACGCUCGUGGUGCUUCUUGCCUUGUGUGUCAACACCAGUUCACGGCUGAGGAAAACUUCAGGGACAUGGUAGCCUGUCUCCGGGUGGGUGAAUGUGCUUGCUGGAACUCAUCUGUGGUCUGGCUGUUGACUAAAUGGUUCCAUCCGACCCGUCUUGAAACAC